rnacentral:misc_RNA from 1 species
GAUGAAGAACGUAGCGAAAUGCGAUAAGUAAUGUGAAUUGCAGAAUUCAGUGAAUCAUCGAAUCUUUGAACGCACAUUGCGCCCGCCAGUAUUCUGGCGGGCAUGCCUGUCCGAGCGUCAUUUCAACCCUCGAACCCCUCCGGGGGGCCGGCGUUGGGGAUCGGGAACCCCUAAGACGGGAUCCCGGCCCCGAAAUACAGUGGCGGUCUCGCCGCAGCCUCUCCUGCGCAGUAGUUUGCACAACUCGCACCGGGAGCGCGGCGCGUCCACGUCCGUAAAACACCCAACUUUCUGAAAUGUUGACCUCGGAUCAGGUAGGAAUACCCGCUGAACUUAAGCAUAUCAAUAAGCGGAGGA